rnacentral:rRNA from 1 species
ACUCGUCACACUAUCAUUAACUGAAUCCAUAGGUUAAUGAGGCGAACCGGGGGAACUGAAACAUCUAAGUACCCCGAGGAAAAGAAAUCAACCGAGAUUCCCCCAGUAGCGGCGAGCGAACGGGGAGGAGCCCAGAGCCUGAAUCAGCAUGUGUGUUAGUGGAAGCGUCUGGAAAGGCGCGCGAUACAGGGUGACAGCCCCGUACACAAAAGCGCAUGUGCUGUGAGCUCGAUGAGUAGGGCGGGACACGUGGUAUCCUGUCUGAAUAUGGGGGGACCAUCCUCCAAGGCUAAAUACUCCUGACUGACCGAUAGUGAACCAGUACCGUGAGGGAAAGGCGAAAAGAACCCCGGCGAGGGGAGUGAAAAAGAACCUGAAACCGUGUACGUACAAGCAGUGGGAGCACCCUUUGGG